rnacentral:rRNA from 1 species
AUUGAACGCUGGCGGCAUGCCUAACACAUGCAAGUCGAGCGGAGCGGCGGACGGGUGAGUAAUGCCUAGGAAUUUGCCUGGUAGUGGGGGAUACCGUCCGGAAACGGGCGUUAAUACCGCAUACUAUCAGACGAGCCUAGGUCGGAUUAGCUAGUUGGUGGGGUAAAGGCCUACGAGGGCGACGAUCCGUCACUGGUCUGAGAGGAUGAUCAGGCACACUGGAACUGAGAGCCGGUCCAGACUCCUACGGGGGGCAGCAGUGGGGAAUAUUGGACAAUGGGCGAAAGCCUGAUCCAGCCAUGCCGCGUGAGUGAAGAAGGUGUGCGGAUGGUAAAGCGCUUUAAGUUGGGAGGCGUUACCAACAGAAUAAGCACCGGCUAACUCCGUGCCAGCAGCCGCGGUAAUUC